rnacentral:lncRNA from 1 species
CAAGAAAUGUACUAGCAGCUAGAGAGUGAUUGGUCUCAAUGCCUGCAAAAUUUGCUGGCAUUGCUGUGCCAGCUGUGUGGCGACGGAGCUGCCACACAGUCAUUUUCUUUCUGCUAAGUGUUUUUACAAAUGCCCAGAAUCCCUCAUCUUCUACUACAGACAUAGGCUGGAGGUCCCUCACAGUCAUCCCUCCCAGGCUUCUUGUGAGUGCUGCUGCUCUUGGAGAAUCAUCUACAAACAACACAGAUGCUCCUAUAAAAAAAUCACAUGGCCAGUUGAGGACAGUGAUGAUGAAGACUUUGACUUAGACUCCACCUGCCGCAUCACUGGCUUUCUAAGGAUGUUCAUUGAAACCGGUAUAAACACCUUAUUUGCUCUCUUUACAAAUGCUUCUGUGUCUCAUGGAUAGAUAUGAUCAAUUAAAGUUGAACUACAUGUCUUUAAUCCCUUUUAUGACCUUUAGCUUCAUCGGGUACCCUGGCCCAGCUGCUGACAUUCUGGGUUGGCUGGGAGAUGCUUCCUCCUGAACUGAGAGUGAAGAUUUCUGGGGGACCCCUUCCUACAUCCUCCACAUGCUUUGAAACACUAAAGCUGCCAGCUCAUUUCAAAAUCUACAGGGACUUUGAGAAAGCACUUGUUGCUGCCAUAAACAGUACUGGAUUUGGGCUUGUUUAAGCUUUUUCAGACCGAUGUCAAUGCAUAUACUGUUCAGAUGAAUUGACACAAGUUCAGUGUCUUUGAAAACAUUAACACACUGUGCAGUAGUUGACAAUUUUUUUUAUUCUACAUAUUUUUUCCAUUUACUGAAAUCAAACAGUUCUGCACCUUCAGUGCUAACAGUACAGCAUUCAUGUUAGUCAUUCUGUGGACCGUAGUGAGACAGGAAGACAGCUAUAAAACAGCUAUUUUUUUUUCUUAUUAAGUAAACUUUUUCAGUUUUUCCUUGCUUGUUUUAACACAACAAAUAAAAACAUGGGUUGGACAUCAGUCUUCUAAGAUUCUUGAUAACACUUCCUCAGUCUUUACAUAUAGUCUAAGUGCUUCAGUAACAGAAACUCCUGGAGCUGGCAAAAUUGCAACCUCCUCAUCUGAGAGUUCACGGGCCAGCUGAACCUUGGGGCCAGACACUGUGCCUCCAUGAAGGCUGUU